GGAUUGCUCUCCAGCAAAGUCCCAGACCUCGCACCCUCCUCCUCAGGCUCUGCUUUCUGGGCCACCCAGGCCCGCCCGCCACCCCCGGAGGCGGCGACAGGCUAUUUCCUGGAGAAAGCGAAUUGAGAGGGUCUGGAACCUGGAGCCUUGAAGAACUGGGACAGGACCCCACCUCCCACUCACUAAAGAGAAUGUGGAGCAAAAAGAAUACGGGACUAGGUCUGUUUUCCGGUGGAAACGUCUCGGGUCUAAAUAUGGCAGCAGCCUGGGGCCCCUGCAGAAGGUGGGGCCGGGCAGUGACUCUUCUUAAGCCAUACGUCAAAGUCGUCUCCUCCACUGUAACUCCUGGAGAAAGUUCUCUCAAACUUCCCCGACUUGAGUUUGUCUCUGUAGAAGUUUGGACGGAAAUGUGACAAAACCCUCGUUUGAGGGAAGCGAUUAAAGCUUGUCCUCACCGGUGGGCAGAGCGACUUGCCCUGUCUUCUCAUACUGACUGCGCUUCAUGGAUUUCUAAUCAGGCGCUGUCCAGAGUGAAAUUUCUUAUGUUCUGGCUUCUAAACAGUGAAAUACGAAUAAAUUCCAUAAUGUGUUUAAAAACAAAACAAACAGCGACAACAAGAAAAAUACCAGCAGGCAGGUCACGUGGAAGGGCCGGGAGGAGGAGAAAAGGGCCGCCCCGCCCCUACAGGAUCACCUGCUGGCCGGGCUGGCCGCCCCCACGCGGGACAGAACCGGGUCCGCCCGCCACGCCUGCGCAUCUCGGGGCGCAUCCUCUGGGCUGCGGACUCCGCGCCCCGAAGAGGGGUCCCGCUUCUGGCCGCCGCUGGUUGCUCACCCAUCAGGAGCCCCGGAGUCCGGAGCAGGAUUCCCACCCGAACCCCUGGGGCGUCCCCGUGGCCGCUGGACCAGAGCCCCGGACAGCCGGCACUGGCACUGGUCUACACUGGCCCAGACCGCCCACCUUCCACCUGCGCAGGAAGGUGUGGAAGGACGGGAGGGCCAGCAGCAGCCUCGGAGACACAUCAAGGCCUGGCGACCUCGAAUGGCAUCCCACGAGGGCGUGGACCGGGGUGGAGGGUGGGGAUUGGAGGAGAAUUAAUCAAUAAAGUUCAAGCCUUUUGAAAGGAAUAACAAUGACCGUUUCUCUCCCGUGUCCCACCUGGCGGAGUGAGUGAAGCAGCCUGCUGUCUCAGUCCAUGUUCUGGUUCAGCUCCUUCAUCCUGCACAGGAAAUGUCUGCAGGGCCAAGUCACUCCAGAACAUUUGGGGGCCGGUACCAUCACACUUAAAGGUAAACGUCCGCCAGCUCAGCUGCCCCCUUGCUAGAUUUGGCAGAACCCAGGAUCUCCUUGGUCCAAUCCGAUGGCUUCUCCUCCUGAACUGUCCCCCAACGCAACGGCUUCUGGGGCCUCAACAGGAAGCUGCCCCCGCCACGUUCCAGCCUCGCGCAGGAGGACAGAGACGCUGGGCUUUGUGCUGCCCGCCUCCUAUGCGCACGUCAGCCGUCAGACCCUCAAGCCCCGCAGAUGCAUUCCUCCCUGUCCCCCGACACUGAGCGGACUGUCCCCGGGAGACACGUUCGCUGCUGAGACGAGAGGGAAACCCUCCCCACCGUGCCCAGGCUGGCAGGGCGCUCAGCUGGAGCUCCGAAAACAAACCCGUGUCCGUCUCAGCAGGUGGUCCUUCUGUCUGUCUCUGCGGGAUGGUCCUCUACACACAUUUCCCCAGGAAAUUUAAUCAAAGACUGCAUUUGGAGGCAAGACUCGAACGUGAAUAAGUCUUCCUGGCAACACGCUUUUCUCUUCCUAGGAAUCGGUCAACACGGGCGUUUUGUGACGUUCAGGUGCUCUGAGAACUGAGGGAGCAGCCGUGUGCCUAGCAGGAUGCGACGACGAUUAACAGCAGCUAGAAGAUGCUGAUGAAGAAGAGCCUGGAGUCCUCACAUUCUUUUCUUUAGCCUCUUGAAAAAGCUAUAAAGGCAGCAUGAAGAGGAAGCUGUUAGUAGCCAGGAAAUUCGAGAGAAGAACGUUCUGAAAUAGGACUUCUCAGAGGAAAUGAUCACUAAUAGCCCUAAUUCAGGACAUUCCAGACAACAGUCCUAAGAUCAAAGCCGCUCCUCCGCUUCACACACCAGCGGCCGUCUCCUCGCUGCACUCGCCCAGCAGGCACCCUUCGCCAGAACCGGACAAGCUUCGGACUCAAAACACAUCCCUCUGGGAGAAGCCUGGAAAGGCUGAGGGAGGAGACUCUCUCUCCUGGCCUAAGUGUUUUUCAGCCCCUGGAAUGAUUUCCUGUUAUUUCAUUUUGAGCCUCCCUGAGUAUUUCUCACUUAUUCAGUACUCUUAAUCCCCCAGAAGCGUUUUAUUUUUUCUUCCUCCUUUGGUUUUUCUUUCCUUGUCAGAAAGAAAUCUCACUCCCACAGUUGUUUUCUUCUUCUCUGCUGGAGCAGAGAGUUCUAAAAUUACUUCAUUGUGCCAGGUGGUGAGGUCUUUUCAACCUUGAUGGAUGCUGUUCUCGAGCUUAAGCCGUUGUCAUAAAAUGCGUAGUUUACCAACUCUCUCCUCCUUUGUAAAGUUAACUUUAUUCUUAGGAUGCAGCUUUUAAAACUCUGUUCCAAGUUGAGUGUAGCUGCAAAGAGUCAGAUAAUGUUUGGGUGGUGGGGGGAAGGCUCAGCACCCUCGCACGAAACUGCAGGAGCCUUUCGAAUGCUACAAUAUCCGUAUGUGUUUAGAGAAAUAUAAUUGUUCACUGCAAAUGUCAAAGAAGGUUUAUUUACAAAGAAGGAUUAUGGUCACUAACUAGAUCAAAAUUAGGAGAGAAUGAUCAUAGGAACAAAUUAUACCCAAGGACAUUUACUCAUUCUUCUUAAACAGAGUAUAGCAAUUACCUUUUCUCAGACUCUCUCCUUGCAGAAUCUCACAGACAUUCAGGAUGGGCGGGCUUCAGCGGCCCUCAGAUAUAACCACAUCCCUGAAAAAUAAUCUCUCAGCCUAGUCCUAACCCCCUCUAGCAAUGGAAAACACCCUCUCCAAAGGCUGCCUUUCUCCUUGGAUUUUGGCUUUCCUGGAAUAACUCAGCGCCUUAAGUAUAAACACAUAGAGAAACCACUGCCCCCACGCAGGAAGCUGACUCCUCGUUGUCAAUACUCAGUACUCAUGCCGCUCUGGCCCAGCCACUCUGACCUGACCUUGAGACACAGCCAUGCCUCUCUCUCAUUUCCUUUGAAACUGUGAAAAGAGGAGAAAGUAUAUCAAGAGGAGUGACGUUUUACAGACAUGCCAUCACUUCUGCCAGGCACACCGGCCCUUAAACCAUUACCGUCCCUGUGAGGCUGGAAAAGCUGCCCUGCAUGUAGGCAUGCCUCCGGAGUAGAAUCAAUGACUGCCUUUAUGUUUGUUUUAUGUGUUGAUCACCAGCCCUGUUAACCUUCCUAGUUAGAAUUAAAUAGAUGAUUUCAUUUUUAAAUCUGUCUGGUUGAUAAAGAGCUUUUACUCUAAAGUUCAGUUUUCUAUAUAUUUAAAACAUCCUAAUUGAGAACAAAGUGUCAGAAACAUUUCAAAAGCAAUACCCAAAAAGCAAUAUUGACAAAAACAAUAGUAAUAACGCUGACAAAUAAAAAUGGCAAGCAAUAGGAUAUAUUGGAGAAUAUGAGGAAGCCAUUUGGUAUAAACCUAAUUCGGCCUGACUUUGUCUUUCCAAAAGGCCUGACCCUGGCCAUGGAGCAUGCACUGUAUAACUGCUUUAGAGAUUCCCUAUGGCAAGUGCCAAAGGCCCUUGAGGUAAAUGUGCAACUU
ensembl:lncRNA